AACGCGAAGAACCUUACCUGGUCUUGACAUGCAUUGUGUCUACGGUGAAAACAGUAUAGGGUAGCAAUACGCGCUUUGCACAGGUGCUGCAUGGCGGUCGUCAGCUCGUGUCGUGAGAUGUUGGGUUAAGUCCCGCAACGAGCGCAACCCCUGUGAUUUGUUGCCACCGGCUUAUGCCGGGCACUCAAAUCAGACUGCCGGGAUCAACGAGGAGGAAGGUGGGGAUGACGUCAAGUCCGUAUGGCCCUUAUGACCAGGGCUGCACACGUACUACAAUGCCCGGUACAAAGGGAACCAAGCCCGCGAGGUGGAGGAAAUCCAUAAAACUGGGCUCAGUUCAGAUUGGAGUCUGCAAAUUGACUCCAUGAAGGUGGAAUCGCUAAUAAUGGUACAUCAGCUACGGUACCGUGAAUACCUUCCCGGGUCUUGUACACACCG
rnacentral:rRNA from 1 species